UCAUGUCAAUAGCCUAGAAUAAUUAUCUGUAUCAGUGAUUUGACUAAAGUGCAUCAUCUUCUGUUGGUACCACUGGUUAUGAAGCAAGGAGGAAAAGCUUUAGAGAUGACUGCUGAAUUAUAUGUUACACCAGCCACGCAAAAGGAAGUAAGACUCCAUCUCCUCUGCCUUUGCCUCACAUUGAUCAGGGCAUUGCUUUGGGCUUGCUGUUCAGUCAACUGUUUUGGUGCUCUGUGCUCCCUUGACCUUGCUGUGUUCGACUUGAUGUAAAAGAAAUGAGCAUAAAACAAAAAAAAUUGAAAAAAUGCUGCAUGGUGGAUGAAUAUGCUAUGAAAUUAUCAAUAUUUUAGUUCUCCUAUUAGCAGUUCUCCUUUUGCCUGACCCCCAGACAAACUAAGUAGUGUGGCUCCUUUUUAUCUGUGCCACUUUGUACUAUGGUACUGAGCCAUAUAAGAUUUGAAGGAAUGAGAUUCCUUGUAUUAGUUGUUCCCAAUAAAGCUUGCUCGGCCAUCAAGAUAA